rnacentral:rRNA from 1 species
AUAUUAUGGCUUUUUUCGCAUGGAGGAAUCAUGAAAGCUAGAUGCGCUAAGAGAGAGCUUUGCGUCCCAUUAGCUCGUUGGUGAGGUAACGGCCCACCAAGGCAAUGAUGGGUAGCCGGCCUGAGAGGGUGAACGGCCACAAGGGGACUGAGACACGGCCCUUACUCCUACGGGAGGCAGCAGUGGGGAAUAUUGGACAAUGGACCACAAGUCUGAUCCAGCAAUUCUGUGUGCACGAUGACGUUUUUCGGAAUGUAAAGUGCUUUCAGUCGGGAAGAAGUCAGUGACGGUACCGACAUA